CGCGUAGGAAUCUACCCAGUAGUGGGGGACAACAGUCGGAAACGGCUGCUAAUACCGCAUACGCCCUAUGGGGGAAAGCGGGGAGUCUUCGGACCUCGCGCUAUUGGAUGAGCCUGCGUCGGAUUAGCUAGUUGGUGAGGUAAAGGCUCACCAAGGCGACGAUCCGUAGCUGGUCUGAGAGGAUGAUCAGCCACACUGGAACUGAGACACGGUCCAGACUCCUACGGGAGGCAGCAGUGGGGAAUAUUGCGCAAUGGGCGAAAGCCUGACGCAGCCAUGCCGCGUGUGUGAAGAAGGCCU
rnacentral:rRNA from 1 species